GCCGGGGUAGCUCAGCUGGGAGAGCAACAGACUGAAGUGUUUAACGAGUUCUUCUGGAGGUCCCGUGUUCAAUCCACGGUCCUGGCA